GCAGGGGUAUCGAAGCCCGGUCAACCGAGAAGGACUCAAGAUCCUUUCCUUUAGGGGUUCGUGGGUUCAAAUCCCACCUCCUGCACCA
rnacentral:tRNA from 3 species